rnacentral:sRNA from 1 species
CCAUUCUCCUUCCUCAGCCUCCCGAGUAGCUGGGACUACAGCCGAGAAGCUGCCAUCGAUCCUCCCAUGGACCCCUGAUCCUGGUUUGGAGGAAAUUUUCACAGCUCUCUCUCCCUCCCUCAAACCCUGUGUGAUGAGUUUGCAGAAGAGAGUCUUCCCG